AGCUCAUAUAAGGUAAAAAGAAAAAGGUUUUCCAGCUUCCAAGCUGCAUGGAAGGAGUUUUUGCUGAGGGCUCCCAUGCCAGCUGCUUAAAAAACCCCAGCUGGCAGCACAGGGGUCCCAGUGGUGGGUUAUAAUGUGACGGCAGAAGGAGGUGGCCACAGCCAUGUCCCCGCGGCGCGGUGCUGGCAGGUGUGGGGUGGCAGGAGUGGCCAUGCUGGAGAGGGGAAAGGGCGCUGUGUUGUAACCACGGGGAGGGCCCUGCUGGGAUGGGCUCUGACGCAGCCCAGUACCACCACCGAGGAAGCGGGCGGCUGCCGGCACUCGCCUGGCUGGGGAUGUGGGGACACGGAGGCGAAGGCUGGAGGGACACAGUCCUCACUGGAGCUGCUGGAGGUGCACCAGGACUGUACACCCCCGGACAGCAUGAGCCGGGCAAAGCCAGCGUGCCAAAAGCCGGCAUCCCCCAUGAGCAAACCACCACCAUCCCCAGCUCCCACCACCCGGAGUGCAGGAGGGCUGGCUCCUGGGGCACAGGGAAGUGCUGAGCCAGGCUUUGCUCCUCUGUGAA